CUUGUAGUUAUGCAAAAAGCAGAGACACAAGCUACCUAAUGCCCAGCCAUCUCAUAUCCCUUCUCAGCACCUACCUGUUUCCAGACACCUCAGUUCAGCAGGAAUUUUUGUUUGCUGUUGUCUUAAUGUCCAAUCCAGCUGGAACUAGAAGGAUCAAGCAGUGCAGUUAGGUUUUGCAGGGUGAUUUUUCUGAAGCUGCAAGUACUUGUGAUGCCUGGAAGUCUCUAUUGGUGUGCUGCAGCUGGCUGUAGUUCCCAGAGGAAAUAGGUGGUGAGCAAAAGUUGAAAUUAAGAGAAGGAAAAUCUGACAAACCAAAAUGAAGUAGUGAAGAGUUCUGCAAUCUGUGCACAGGAAGGUGGAUUCCUUUUUACUACAUUAAAGAUAUGUUCACAAUAAGGGAAGCUACCUACACAAAACUCUUGAGGUCCAGCAUGAAGAAUCAAUAGCUAAUAUCAGUUCGGAAGAAUUGGAACAGGAGAUAUCCAGCUCCAGGACUGCAGACAAGACAAGUAUUAGAUUCUUUAUGCAUGUGUUAGCUGCUUACUGCUGUGUGGUAGAAUGGUCAGAGUUAAAAGUUUGCUGUUGAUAAAGAAGACAUCAUAUUAUAUCUUA